GAUGAACGCUAGCGGGAGGCCUAACACAUGCAAGCCGAGCGGUAGAGUUUCUUCGGAAACUUGAGAGCGGCGCACGGGUGCGUAACACGUGUGCAACCUACCUUUAUCUGGGGGAUAGCCUUUCGAAAGGAAGAUUAAUACCCCAUAAUAUAAUGAUUGGCAUCAAUUAUUAUUGAAAACUCCGGUGGAUAGAGAUGGGCACGCGCAAGAUUAGAUAGUUGGUGAGGUAACGGCUCACCAAGUCAAUGAUCUUUAGGGGUCCUGAGAGGGAGAUCCCCCACACUGGUACUGAGACGCGGACCAGACUCCUACGGGAGGCAGCAGUGAGGAAUAUUGGACAAUGGGUGAGAGCCUGAUCCAGCCAUCCCGCGUGAAGGAUGACGGUCCUAUGGAUUGUAAACUUCUUUUGUACAGGGAUAAACCUACCCUCGUGAGGGUAGCUGAAGGUACUGUACGAAUAAGCACCGGCUAACUCCGUG
rnacentral:rRNA from 1 species